AACGAACGCUGGCGGCAUGCCUAACACAUACAAGUCGAACGAGACCUUCGGGUCUAGUGGCGCACGGGUGCGUAACGCGUGGGAAUCUGCCCUUGGGUUCGGAAUAACUUCGGGAAACUGAAGCUAAUACCGGAUGAUGACGUAAGUCCAAAGAUUUAUCGCCCAAGGAUGAGCCCGCGUAGGAUUAGCUAGUUGGUGAGGUAAAGGCUCACCAAGGCGACGAUCCUUAGCUGGUCUGAGAGGAUGAUCAGCCACACUGGGACUGAGACACGGCCCAGACUCCUACGGGAGGCAGCAGUGGGGAAUAUUGGACAAUGGGCGAAAGCCUGAUCCAGCAAUGCCGCGUGAGUGAUGAAGGCCUUAGGGUUGUAAAGCUCUUUUGGUCGGGGACGAUGAUGACGGUACCCGCAGAAUAAGCCCCGGCUAACUUCGUGCCAGCAGCCGCGGUAAUGU
rnacentral:rRNA from 1 species